rnacentral:rRNA from 1 species
GACGAACGCUGGCGGCGUGCUUAACACAUGCAAGUCGAACGGAAAGGCCCUGCUUUUGUGGGGUGCUCGAGUGGCGAACGGGUGAGUAACACGUGAGUAACCUGCCCUUGACUUUGGGAUAACUUCAGGAAACUGGGGCUAAUACCGGAUAGGAGCUCCUGCUGCAUGGUGGGGGUUGGAAAGUUUCGGCGGUUGGGGAUGGACUCGCGGCUUAUCAGCUUGUUGGUGGGGUAGUGGCUUACCAAGGCUUUGACGGGUAGCCGGCCUGAGAGGGUGACCGGCCACAUUGGGACUGAGAUACGGCCCAGACUCCUACGGGAGGCAGCAGUGGGGAAUAUUGCACAAUGGGCGGAAGCCUGAUGCAGCAACGCCGCGUGCGGGAUGACGGCCUUCGGGUUGUAAACCGCUUUCGCCUGUGACGAAGCGUGAGGGACGGUAAUGGGUAAAGAAGCACCGGCUAAUUACGU